GUGAGGGCGCAGGAUCUAGCCCCCGCGCAGUGCAGCCCCCAGCCAACUUGCAUUGGGGGCUGGAAGGCCAGCCGCUUCGAAUAGAGGAACUAGAGGGGGUGAACAAAAUCUCCAUUGGCCUUAAGACUUCCUCCUGGGGUAACCACCCGCCUAUGUUUAAAGAGCACUUCCUCUUUGCCCUUUAUCUUUUCAUCAUCUUUUUUUUUUUUUUAAUGGAAGUUCAGUGCAAUCGGGUGGAUGCUCUUGCAGCCUGCAGGGCUUUCCUGGGGCUGUGUUCACACACAGUGGGUAGCGAACCUGUGUGUCCUGUCCUAAGGGUGGGAGGAAAGAGGAACCGGGGACUUCCCUGGUUGGAGCCCGGUGCGGGCGGAGGGGGGUGGCGGCUUUGAUCCCCACCCUGCUGCAAGAAAUGGAGCCGAUGGGGGAGGAGUUGAGCGGGAAGGAGGCCCCGCUGGGGAGUAUCACGUGGACUUUGCACCUAUGCUUAAUUCCUGGCCCUGCCACCUUACUAGCUGUGUGACCUUGGACGAAUCGCUUACCCUCUCUGAGUCUUAGAUGGCUGUCUGUAAAAUGGGUGCUUUGAGUAGGGCCUAGAGAAAGUGAGUGUGGACUUCCUGGCCUGGAGGGGGCGCAGUAAUGGGAAGUGUCAUUGUCAAUCGCCUCCCCUUUAAUUUCUGCAUCCUCACCGCCUAGAAGGGGUCCCUGGGCACCUGGGAGGCUGUGGGUAGAUAUCUGUGAAAUGAAGAGCUGGAUCUUGAAUUUUGAGAAGUGAGUGGGGGUGGGUCUACAUUUUGGCUUCCUUGCCCAGGACCAUCCAUCCCACAAUCGGGGGAGAGCCACAUUUUGCCACCUGGGAUCUGUGUAAUCCAUCCCCUCCCCAGAGGAGGAUUAUCUUGAGAAAAUAUUGAUUCCUUGUGAAAAGGAGCUUAAACUCUGACUUUGAGCCUCUCCUAUUCUUGAAAGAUUGCAUUCUGUGGAAAUGAAAAGGAAGCAUCAUUUUGAUUGCCACUGCCAGAUGACUGUCCGCGGAGGGUUGCCAGGGCUAACAGCUGGGCUGUUUUCCCAGACUUGGGGGUUCCUGGUAAACAUGGAGGGAACCGGGGAGAGGUGAUUUUCUUCCUUGGUAGGGCAUGCAGGAGUGGUCAGCUGGCCUGAGUUUUCUUCCUGGGGAGGCGUGUUGGAAUUUGCAUUUUCCAGAUCUUGCCAGACUUUUGGCAUGGGGAGGAGCAGUGUGUGUGCUGAAGGAGACCAGGGUGGGUUAAGGCACAGGGGGACUUGGAAAUGGCCUUCAGAUAAAGGCAUGGUAUGGGUUUCUGCACUUCACUUUGGGAGAUUUUCAGGUAAUUUUGCUUUCUCUGACAGCCGGCCCUUCUUUCUCAGCUCCCAAAGGUUUCUGUGCACCUCUCUUUGGAUCUUAGCUGUGACAUUCUUCACAUCGGAGGGCAGGAGGUGACCCCGGGUGCUGCUUCUAUUCUAAGAGGCAGCCUCCUGACGUUUGACAUGUGCAGAUUCAUUUUUAAGAUGUGGAGUGGUCACGGUUACCGUCAAGGAGAGGUUUUAUUCUUAUUUUGCAGGACUUAGCGAGGGUGCAGGACUUGGCCCCACACCCUCAGCCAGGAAGCGGCUGAUUCAGGAUCCUUGCCCAUCUUCCAUCCACAGCGCGCUCCCCCUUUUUUCUGUGAGCUCUGCUCCCUUCUGAAUGGCCUUUGUGUUUCCCCUGGCACCUGGCAGGCUGUCUGGUAUGUGCUUGGAUACACGGUACACGUUUUGUGGCAGCUGAACCAAAGAGAGAUGGUCCCCCCUUUGCUCUUUACGAAGGUACGUUCGGGCUCCACCUCAAGGUCAGGGCACUGGCCUGUAGGUGACCUUGAAAUUGUUCUUUGACAGUUCCUCCCAAGUGCAUUUUGAUCCCUCAUUCUGGAAUCCCAGCCUCUGACAGCUCUUACUUCAGGAUCCAGACACCGUGACAGGAAGGACUCUUGAGAGACGCCAGUGUCACGCGGCCUCAAUUUGAGCAUUACUGUCACCUCCUUGUUUGAGGAGACCCUGGUCCCGUGGCUCCGGCAGCCUGGGACUUGGCCGUCUUCAGGGAAACCGUCUUCCAGGGAGCGCUGUGGCGGCAGUGUCGUGUCAGUGACAAAUCAGAUUUCAGAUGGGUCCACGUUAGCUCUGCGCUGGUCAGGCAGCCUUCGGCAGGUCGCUGCACGCCUGGGACCCCCUUUUCCUCAUCCGCGAACAGGCAAAAUCAUCUCUGCUCCAGCCGGUCCGCAUCACAGGUUCCUGAGUAAGAGGGCAAGACCCAGGUCCACAUGCUCACUUUUGCCUCUUCUGCCCAUCGGCAGGUCAGCAAGCGUCAGAGCCUCAGUGUUCUCAUUUGUAAAAUGGGACCGUGCAGCGUGGGGUUGUUCUGCUCACGCAGCAGUGUGAUGCCCGUAGCCGAGACCCCUGCUAAAUGGCGAUCACCAUCUGUUUCCUCAGCUGGAGCUUCUCGAAGUCUAGACUCAUGUCUCUGUUUUCACUGGACUUGGAGUUUCUCCAGAGAAGUACACUGAGACUUACUAGCUGCCAUCUGCUCCGAGGGAAGGAGACAUCAUGUUCGUAAAUAUAUAAAUAAUCGAAGUCAACGAGAUUUGUUUAAAGAAGUGUGACUGAGAGUGAUUUUAAUAAAUAUUUAAGAUGAUCUGAAACCAUUAGAGGAAUUGCAGGGUUUAUUAAAAAACCGGAAACGUGU